GGUGGAAGUACUGUCCCCAGUGGGGUUCAGUGUUGUCCCUCCAGGUUCACUAUCACCCCUUUUGGCUCAGCACUGGUGUUUGAACCUGGGGCCUCGUGCAUGGAAGGCAUCAAUCACUCUGCCGCUGAGCUAUGUUUCUACAGGGUUUUGGUAAGUUAGCCGUGUUGGGUUAAAACCGAGUUGGGAGCUCAGGCAGGCCUUGAGUUUCCAAUCCUCCUGCCUCCGCUUUCUGAGUAGAUAGGAUUACAGACCUGGGGCCACAGGGCUUGAUUCCCGCCCCCUCAUUUCUGGAAAUCACUAAGAAAAACGGUAAACAGUUUAAUUUUUAACUUUGAGUAGCUAGCUGCCUGGUUGUUGCUGACAGGAAGUCACUCUCAGGCAGUGCAUGCACCCUGUGUUGUCCCAGCCAAAGAGAAAGCAGGGCCUGUACUGGACACCUCAAAUGCCUCCAUCUGCAGAGAGAGAAGCCAGUUGGUCCCUAGGAAGUUCUGCUCAGCUGUUAGUAAGCCACAGACUUCAGGAGGGAAGGCUCUGCACUUGUCUGUGGGUAUCCUGUUGCUGUGUCUUUGGUUGAAAAUCAAUGAAGUCUCCAGGCAGAAGUGGUGCAUGUCUUUACUAGCACUUGGGAGGCAGAGGUAGGAGGACUUAAGAGUUCAAGGCCAAAUCCGGCAGUAGUGGGUGCACACCUUUAAUCCCAGCUGAGAAAGGUACUCUUAAUCUGAGCUGAUUUAAAGAUUAUCAUAGGUUUGAUUUGCCUCAUAUCAGACCUUAUUUUUUUAAAUCUCCAAAGAGGAGGGAGGAGGGGGAGGAGGGGGAAGAGGGGGAAGAGGAGGAGGAGGAGGAAGAGAGAGAGAGAGAGAGAGAGAGAGAGAGAGAGAGAGAGAGAGGAGGAACAAUAAUUUUUUUAUGUUCCUCACUUUAGAAUUUGCUACUUAUUUACUCACUUCUUAUUCCUGUGGAUGUCUAUAACCUGAAAGACCCUCCUCUUCCCAUUUUGCUCAAUAGCCCCUUGCUCACUUCUCCGUGAAAAGUAUUAAACCAUAAUUUAUUCUCUAAGACACAAAGCAAGAGGCAUCUUCUUUCAUGGGGGACACUAUGCUCCUCCCCCACAGCACCGACCCACCUCUUCACUCCGCAGCCACUCUGCCAAUUGGUCUUUACAGCUUUCCAUCCUUACCGUGGUCUUCUUUGUAAAGCCCUCUUCCCCACUGUACACAUGCUUUGAGGGGUAAACUGAGUCUCACUCACCACUGCCUUCUGAGAAGCUAGUAUCAGACUUUGUGUGAUGCCAGAUAAUAGUUUACUGAACACAUUCAAAACGGAAUGAGCUCUGAAAUGACUGGAGCAGAGGUAGGAAGCGGCCAUCCGCUAGAGUGGCGGUGGCGUAAAGUCCCACCUAGUCUCUGAGAACAGCCACUCAAGGGCUUCAGGAAACCAGUGCCCCACCCCCAUCCCCACCCCGAAAUGAGGCAGCAUAUGCCUGAUGUGUUUGUGCUGAACCAAAGAACUUGUUUCACAUGCCCCCUCCCCUUCCCCCGACUCUCCAGAUGUUGAGCUCAGCUGGCAGGCUUCAUCUACAAACAAGCUGUCUUCACUGGAGGUCACACUGUUAUUCCCCAAGGGAAGUUCCUCUGGGGAGAUGUCCACACUUGCCAGACCUUCUGCCUUGCAGGACUAAGUUGAGAAGCCU
ensembl:lincRNA